CCUACGGGAGGCAGCAGUGGGGGAUAUUGCACAAUGGGGGAAACCCUGAUGCAGCGACGCCGCGUGUGGGAAGACGGUCCUCUGGAUUGUAAACCACUGUCCCCAGGGACGAAGAUGACGGUACCUGGGGAGGAAGCUCCGGCUAACUACGUGCCAGCAGCCGCGGUAAUACGUAGGGACCGAGCGUUGUCCGGAAUUACGGGGUGAAAAGGGAGCGUAGGCGGGGAUGCAAGUUGGGAGUCAAAACUACCGGCUCAACUGGUAGUCGCACUCGAAACUGGAGGUCUUGAGUGAAGUAGAGGCAGGCGGAAUUCCUAGUGUAGCGGUGAAAUGCGUAGAUAUUAGGAGGAACACCAGUGGCGAAGGCGGCCUGCUGGGCUUUUACUGACGCUGAGGCUCGAAAGUGUGGGGAGCAAACAGGAUUAGAUACCCUUGUAGUC
rnacentral:rRNA from 1 species